rnacentral:lncRNA from 1 species
AAAUUUCAAAACAAUAUUUGCCAAAGUCUGAUGAAGAGAAUACAUACAUAUAACAUGCACUCGCACACAUUUUAUUGUUUAAUUAAAAAAUUCGAAAGUCCAUUAUAUACAUGAUAAAGACUCACCGACACCGAACCAUAUUCAUUUAAAGGAAUUGUUUUCAACUGAGAUUUGAAAUUAUAUACACAAACGCAUCCAAUUGAAAAAAAAAAUCAAAAUAAUUAUAAAGUAUUUCAGUCAUCCUCUGUUCAAUCAUAAAAGAAUAAAAUCUAUGCGAACACGCGGUAUAUGGGUUAACAAGUCCCAAUAUUGUCCUCCAUCCUUUCUGCACUUCUCUGCUAUCAACGGACAUGCCUCGAUCUGUAAUUGCAAAAGUGAGGAAGGCAAGCCCUUCUCCGGAAAGUAUUUGAGCUUGGGACAAUCAAUGAGUCGCAAUUCAGUGAGGUUUUGAAGAUCAACAAUUGAAGAAGAUAGGCGUUCCAGAUUUGGAAAUCUACAAAUCCACAGAGAUGUUAGAGAGGCAGGAAGAGGAAGCGCGGUCCCCGAUCCUUUGUCAUCUGCCUUUGGUGGGAAUGACACCAUGUCGUCAUCACAUUUAAUGAUUCUAAGUUUUCGCAGAGAGGAGAAUCUGUGAAAUCCCCGGCCCCACUCAAUCAUUUGUGGGGGACAAUCCUUUCUGUACUUCUCUGCUAUCAACGGACAUCUAUGGAUGUAUAAACGCAAAAGUGAGGAAGGCAGGCCGUUCUCUGGAAAGUAUUUGAGCCUGGGACAAUUAUAGAGUUCCAAUGAAGUGAGGCUUUGAAGAUCAACAAUUGAAGAAGAUAGCCGUUCCAGAUCAACAUUUUUAUGGGGGUACUAAGAAAAAUAAAGAUAAUAUAAGGAAUGUUGUUGAGGAGUAUUUUGAUAUUUACAAAAGUGUUCAAAGUAAAAAUUGAUUUCUUAAAACUCAUUAGCUAGCGCACAUAAUAAUGGGGAGUAAAUUUUAGACUACGAAUAGUCCCACCCAUUUAAUAAUAUUCUUCGAUCAAUUAUGUUUACUUCAAAAAAAAAAAAAAAACCCAUCUGUUUAUUACUUUCUAACUAUUCAUAUUAAUGUGUUAAUAAUUAUGAAGAACCGGUGUAAUUUAUAUGAUGUAGGAAGCACUUUAGGCAAAAUCAUCUGAAUCUCAAAAUUUCGUGAUAUUGUGCCAAAUAUCCAAAACAGAGCUUCCUACAUUGCUAUAGCAGUUUUUAAAAGUUGAGGAGUCCAAAUAUCCAAUAACUGAUAAAUUGUGUUAAGAAAUAAAAAUAUUAAUGGUGAUGACACAUACGCAUGGAAUAUCUAUAUCCAACAGGUAAAAUUUCAAAACACCAUUUGCCAAAGUCUGAUGAAGAGAAUACAAAUACACACGCGCGCGCUCAUAUAUAUAACCGCACAGCAGAAGGAUAUAUAAAAUAAAUUGAAGUUUCAACAGUUGAACAAUGCAAACUCAUUUUAAAAAAGCCUUCUAUUGUUUAAUUAAAAAAUUCGAAAGCCAUUAUAUACAUGAUAAAGACUCACGGACACCGAACCAUAUUAAUUUAAAAUUAUUUUCAACUGAGAUUUGAAUUUUGAAAUUACAUACACCAACACGCCCGAUUUAAAAAAAAACUAAUAAUAAAAUAUUUAAGUCAUCCUCUGUUCAGUCAUCAAAAACCAAUUUACGAUUUAUUUCAACACAAACACACCCGAUCUAAAAUAAAAUCAAAAUAACAAUAAAAUAUUUCAACCGUCCUCUGUUCAGCCGUCAAAAACGGAUUUCCAAUCUAUGCGAACACGCGGUAUAUGGGUUAACAAGUCCCAAUAUUGUCCUCCAUCCUUUCUGCACUUCUCUGCUAUCAACGGACAUGCCUCGAUCUGUAAUUGCAAAAGUGAGGAAGGCAAGCCCUUCUCCGGAAAGUAUUUGAGCUUGGGACAAUCAAUGAGUCGCAAUUCAGUGAGGUUUUGAAGAUCAACAAUUGAAGAAGAUAGGCGUUCCAGAUUUGGAAAUCUACAAAUCCACAGAGAUGUUAGAGAGGCAGGAAGAGGAAGCGCGGUCCCCGAUCCUUUGUCAUCUGCCUUUGGUGGGAAUGACACCAUGUCGUCAUCACAUUUAAUGAUUCUAAGUUUUCGCAGAGAGGAGAAUCUGUGAAAUCCCCGGCCCCACUCA